rnacentral:rRNA from 1 species
UACGUAGGUGGCAAGCGUUGUCCGGAUUUACUGGGCGUAAAGCGUGCGCAGGCGGUUCGUGAUGUCUGAUGUGAAAGCCCCGGGCUCAACCUGGGAAUUGCAUUGGAAACUAGCGGGCUGGAGUGUGGCAGAGGGGGGUGGAAUUCCACGUGUAGCAGUGAAAUGCGUAGAGAUGUGGAGGAACACCGAUGGCGAAGGCAGCCCCCUGGGCUAACACUGACGCUCAUGCACGAAAGCGUGGGGAGCAAACAGG